GGAGUGCCUUUGAACGGGGUAUGGUAGUAGGUGACAGGAGUGCCUUUGAACGGGGUACUGUAUGGUAGUAGGUGACAGGAGUGCCUUUGAACGGGGUAUGGUAGUAGGUGACAGGAGUGCCUUUGAACGGGGUAUGGUAGUAGGUGACAGGAGUGCCUUUGAACGGGGUAUGGUAGUAGGUGUCAGGAGUGCCUUUGAACGGGGUAUGGUAGUAGGUGCCAGGAGUGCCUUUGAACGGGGUACUGUAUGGUAGUAGGUGACAGGUGUGCCUUUGAACGGGGUACUGUAUGGUAGUAGGUGUCAGGAGUGCCUUUGAACGAGGUACUGUAUGGUAGUAGGUGUCAGGUGCUCCGGUUCCAGUGUUCAUGAUCUGCAACACUGAUGGGUUUUUCAAGCUUAACAGUUUCCCGUGUGUAUCAAGAAUGGUCCACCACCCAAAGGACAUCCAGCCGACUUGACACAACUGUGGGAAGCAUCGGAGUCAACAUGGGCCAGCAUCCCUGUGGAACGCUUUGACACCUUGUAGAGUCCAUGCCCCGAACUGAGGAUCGGAAAACAACUUGACAAAACACUCAGGCUACAGCUACAAAACAAUUAUGUUCAGAUACAAAGUGAACUUAAAGGCCACAUUUGAUACAUUCUCUUAUUGAAUAUGGCACUAUGUACUGCCUACAUACAGUACAUACAAAGAAAUACUGUAUAGCUCUGCUCCGUAGAAAAACAGCUUUGUUCCUAUGCAACUACCCAGAAACAUAUUAUCUCAAUCUAAAUAUCCACAAAUAUGGCUCUGCAAAUAUCUAUCAUUAGUUCCAAAGGCCAACUGCCUUCUGAUGGUUCAGCUGCUUCACUCACAUAAACAGCAUCUGUCUGAAAGGUUCACUAACAUUCUCCCCAAACAAAAUAGCAUUCGACAUCAAUGUCCACCACAACGUCGCUCAGAAGAUAUUCAGCUGGACGCCAAUCAAAUGAACCGAAGGUCGAUAUCAGAGUGCAGCUCUUUGAUAUACCAUCCGCCAUAAUUGAAUCGACUCGACUCCCGUCAUCAUGAAUAUGUAUGAGAGUUAAUCGUGCAGGUGCACUUCGGUGACAUCAUUCACUUUAAUGAUUCCAUUCAUUCUGAUAGAUGAAACGUUCCACCAGGGACGAGGUGAGAUAGCAAUAGAACGGAACUAGAUGUCUGUUUGCUUUCGCUUUCAACAGAAGGACACUAAUUUGCACUUGUAUUGUAAAGCCUCAGACAGAGGCAGUAUGAACUCUCAUUGAAAUAGCUUCUACGACAUUUAGAAGAACUGUUACAUGAUGCUGUUCUUGGAUGAAAGGGAACACUUCGUUCCCUGUGAUUUUAGUGGUAUCAUGAGACUUUUAUACUCUGUCUGAAGGCUACUGUUGAAAACAUACUGCACAAUGAAACUGUAACAUAGAUACAUCAUUCAAAUACUGACAAUAUAGUAUGUGUUUUUCUCCUUGUGUGCAUCUCUGA
ensembl:lncRNA